rnacentral:snoRNA from 1 species
UUUGCAAAUCACCUGCAACAGUGUUUCAAACACAGCUGCUGAGAGCUUGGGGACUCUGACUUCAGGGGGCCAUGUCUGUACUCCUCAAAGUGAAUUUGACGGUCCUUUUAUA